rnacentral:rRNA from 1 species
GACGAACGCUGGCGGCGUGCUAAACACAUGCAAGCCAAACGGAAAGGCCCUGCUUUUGUGGGGUGCUCGAGUGGCGAACGGGUGAGUAACACGUGAGUAACCUGCCCUUGACUUUGGGAUAACUUCAGGAAACUGGGGCUAAUACCGGAUAGGAGCUCUUCCUGCAUGGUGGGGGUGGGAAAGUUUCGGCGGUUGGGGAUGGACUCGCGGCUUAUCAGCUUGUUGGUGGGGUAGUGGCUUACCAAGGCUUUGACGGGUAGCCGGCCUGAGAGGGUGACCGGCCACAUUGGGACUGAGAUACGGCCCAGACUCCUACGGGAGGCAGCAGUGGGGAAUAUUGCACAAUGGGCGGAAGCCUGAUGCAGCAACGCCGCGUGCGGGAUGACGGCCUUCGGGUUGUAAACCGCUUUCGCCUGUGACGAAGCGUGAGUGACGGUAAUGGGUAAAGAAGCACCGGCUAACUACGUG